UGCAUUCCUUGUUCUGCGAUGUUUUCUACGCGCGACGAUGAAAUUUCUCCACGCAGUACGCGUCUCUACUUAGAACUAUUUUCAGCGUAACAGUUUUUGUAUUUUCUUGUAGCCUGGGAACACCGUUCAAUUGGUGCGACAGAAGCUUAUGCAGCUUCCGUCUCACGCAUUGUAUGGAAACGGUUGAAUACCGCUUGUAGUUACUUUCUUGCCCUAGAGUUGAACUAGUAAAAGGUGCCCAUGCUGCGAGUGCAGUCGUAACGCUUUGACGUUGGAUCCGAGCCCAUGGAGAAAGUUGGAGCUGUAGAGCUGUAUGUUUUUGGACAAAGUCAUCAAUUCCAUUGCUCUUCCUAUGCCAAGUGGCCAGGAUAAUGGUUGAAAUUGCUACAAUAAAGGUUAUGAUCAACAACAUUUGUUGAAA